CCGCCGAUCUGCUCGCCGGAACGGCGAGGAGGAGGAGGAGGAGGAAGAAGACGACGACGAGCGCAAGGAGAAGAAGCUCAAACCCUUGCUAGGUCUCAAUUCUCGGGAUUCGAAUCCCUUGAUUCGUUCCAAUUCUUCUGCUUCCAAUUCUCACGGCUCCGGUUCCAAUGCCGAUGUUGAUGUCAAGAACCGCCAGAUCGGAGGGGUACGUCUCGCGAUCCGCCGCAAAACAGCUCUGAUCAUUUCAUUUUCAUCAAUUUUGGGAAUUAAUUUAAUUCUCCCUCCCUUCGAAUCAAAAAUGCAAUUCCGCUAGAAGGAAGCUGUAAUUAGAUUUUUUUCCCGUUGUAUUAGCUGGUUCUGGUGGGACUGGGAGUGGGGGAUUUUCGCGGGAUUAUUGACUAAGUACUUCAAAGUUUCUUUCUUUUUAUUUUGGGUGUUGCUGAAUCGGAGGUCGUGGAAGUGUUUGACUGGUCACUGUUAAUUUGGUUUCUGCUUUUAUUUUUUGCCUCCACAAUCAUCUUCGUUCUCUUUCCUUUAGGUAAUUCUUCUGUUUUUAUUCCUUUAUAUCUUCCCCUUUAUUGUUUCUCCCCUUGAAUUAUAUAUUCUUUAGGGUUCGUUUGAAUUGAUUUGGAUCUUAAAUAAUGAUAGCAGAUGUAAUCGGUGGUGACCUUCUUGUCUGGAAAAUUAAAGAUUGUGGUGUUUGUCUUUUCUCUAAUCUCAAGUCAUGUAUUAUCCCCUGCCCUCUGUGUACUUUCUUCCACCUUUUACUGUCACUUUUCCUGAUAGCUUCUUCACAGAUCAGAUGAUGCAGUGGUACCUUCCUUUAAUAUAUGGUUUAAGUUUUUAGUUUAUGAAUCUUUCUCCUUUCCCUUUCUGCUUUUUUUGGGGCUGGGGUUGGGGAGGCUAGAAGGAACUGAUGUUGGUGUGUUGGUUCUGCUGCCUGUUUAUAUCUGUGGAUUGGUAUAAUUUAUAACGGAGAUGGGUGAUGUUUUUUCCUUUUGCAGGGUGAAAAGUUUCGGAAAGCGACGGAUACUCUUCAUGGUAUGAGUAUCAAUCAGUCUUGGA
rnacentral:lncRNA from 1 species